ACGUAGGGGGCAGGCGUUGUCCGGAUUCAUUGGGCGUAAAGAGCGUGUAGGCGGCCAGGUAGGUCUGGUGUGAAAACUCGAGGCUUAACCUUGAGAUGUCAUCGGAAACCAUUUGGCUAGAGUCCGGAAGAGGAAAGUGGAAUUCCUGGUGUAGCGGUGAAAUGCGCAGAUAUCAGGAAGAACACCAAUGGCGAAAGCAGCUUUCUGGGACGGUACUGACGCUGAGACGCGAAAGCGUGGGGAGCGAACAGG
rnacentral:rRNA from 1 species